rnacentral:rRNA from 1 species
CAGUAGCCGCGGUAACACCAGCAGCCCAAGUGGUGGUCGCGUUUAUUGGGCCUAAAGCGCUCGUAGCCUGACCGGUAAGUUCCCCGUGAAAUCGGGUCGCCCAACGAUUCGGCUUGCGGGGAAUACUGUCGGUCUUGGGGCCGGGAGACGCCGAGGGUACUCCGGGGGUAGCGGUGAAAUGCUGUAAUCCUCGGGGGACUACCAGUGGCGAAGGCGCUCGGCGAUAACGGGCCUGACGGUGAGGGGCGAAAGCUGGGGGCGCGAACGGGAUUAGAUACCCCUGUAGUCCCUGUCUCUUAUU